UAGGGGAAUCUUCCACAAUGGGCGGAAAGACCUGAUGGAGCAACGCCGCGAGUGUGAUGAAGGGUUUCGGCUCGUAAAACACUGUUGUAAGAGAAGAAUGACAUUGAGAGUAACUGUUCAAUGUGUGACGGUAUCUUACCAGAAAGGAACGGCUAAAUACGUGCUAG
rnacentral:rRNA from 1 species